GUUUCCAUAGCUUAAUUGGAUAGAGCAACAGCCUUCUAAGCUGUCGGUUGAAGGUUCGAAUCCUUCUGGGAACG
rnacentral:tRNA from 1 species